AUUGAACGCUGGCGGCAUGCUUCACACAUGCAAGUCGAACGGUAACAGGCCUUCGGGCGCUGACGAGUGGCGAACGGGGGAGUAAUGCAACGGAACGUGCCCAGUCGUGGGGGAUAACGCAGCGAAAGCUGUGCUAAUACCGCAUACGAACUAGAGAUGAAAGCGGGGGACCGUAAGGCCACGCGCGAUUGGAGCGGCGGAUGUCAGAUUAGGGAGUGGGGGGGGUAAAGGACCACCAAGCCAACGAUCUGUAGCUGGUCUGAGAGGACGACCAGCCACACUGGGACUGAGACACGGCCCAGACUCCUACGGGAGGCAGCAGUGGGGAAUUUUGGACAAUGGGCGCAAGCCUGAUCCAGCAAUGCCGCGUGCAGGAAGAAGGCCUUCGGGUUGUAAACUGCUUUUGUACGGAACGAAACGGUCUGGGUUAAUACCCUGGGUUAAUGACGGUACCGUAAGAAUAAGCACCGGCUAACUACGUGCCAGCCGCCGCCGUAAAAC
rnacentral:rRNA from 1 species